UAGAAUGAUUUAAUUCAUGUCUUUAUCUUAUUUUUCUAGGAUACAAAACAAGGUAUGCUUGUGGGUUAGUUCAUGUUCAUUUUAUUUAUUUAUUUUUUAGUGAGGGUAAAUUUGUUUCUUUCAUUAGUACUGCGGGUUAUGGGUCUUAGGCUUUAGAUUCUAUCAAAUGGCACACUCAUUUACUGGAAAAAAAAUUAAGAAAACAAACACAAAUAGCUUUACCUCAGAGACUGAAAUUACAAUUCUUCACACACCUCCAAUGUCAUUGGAAAGUUUGUUCAAGGAUCCUUUAAUAAGAACAUUCUUUUACAGCUGUCCCUCAGGGGCUACCAAAGCUGAGGACGUUCUCAGAGGCCUUGUUGACUGGCAUAGCUGCCACCUUGUGCUGAAGGUCCCCAAAGCAGUAAUUAAAUACAGUAGAUUUAUAAUCUUGGCUUACCCUAUUGUUUGUUUCUAAUGUACUAUGGUGGCUGUUCUUGGGGGAGGGAAAACAACAACAACAACAUUUAGAAAGCCUAUACGCUUUCUAAAUCCAACCUGAGGUUACCUGCUACAUGAUUUGCUAAGAUUACUUUUUGUCUCUAUAGCUUGUCCUUGGCAUGGCAGUGAUAUCCACUCAUUCUUACUCUUCUUUUAAUAGAUUUUCCGUCGAAGAAUGGGGGAAGUAUGCCCUUGGGAAUGAAACACCUCAAAUAUUGUGAGGUUGAUCACUGAUUCUAUCUAGAAUAGUUACUGGGUGACUCUUCAUUCAAAGAUCACACUCCUAAACAAUGUGCAAUACUUUUAGAAUGAACAGCCUCUGCCUGAGCCAAAAUGUUUGAGUAACCACAGUCAAGUACAACGAACGAAGCCAUCCAUAAAUAAUUAUGGAAACCAGACCGUGAAGUAGUAUAUUCAUACCUGAACAGCAAUGUUCUUGAGGCUGAUUGCAUGAGCACAUUUAGAAGACUGGAGAUUUUCAGCUAUGAAAGAGAACUUCGGACUAGUGUACCCCAACUCAUCUGCACCUGCCUCAUUCUGCCUUUAAAUAAAGUUAAGCAAAUCACCAUGUACUUUUUUUUUUCU